UACGGAGGGAGCUAGCGUUGUUCGGAAUUACUGGGCGUAAAGCGCACGUAGGCGGCUUUGUAAGUUAGAGGUGAAAGCCCGGGGCUCAACCCCGGAAUUGCCUUUAAGACUGCAUCGCUUGAAUCCGGGAGAGGUGAGUGGAAUUCCGAGUGUAGAGGUGAAAUUCGUAGAUAUUGGGAAGAACACCGGUGGCGAAGGCGGGUCUCUGGGCCGUAACUGACGCUGAGGAGCGAAAGCGUGGGGAGCGAACAGG
rnacentral:rRNA from 1 species